GGAAGAUGGAAUUUGAGGUAAUCAGGAUGAAUGAAAGACUUAUUUGCAGCUAACCUGCGAGUAUUCAGGAACAUCCCUUUCUCAUGGAGUCCCUUAAUUUACAAGUUAACUGAAAACAUAGGAGAUGGUAGUUUCAAGAAGGAAUAUUUUAUCAUCUUUGUUUUUAAUCUCAAGAAUGAUACCUACCAUCAGUGAAUGACCUGUUGCAGUGCUUUCAUUGAAGCAUUCUUCAUUCCUUCAGCAAUGUGAUUGUGAUGACUGAAAAAGGGGAGCUGUUCCACUAUUUGUACCAUCAUCUUCACCAAAAUAAAAAAUUCUUUUUAUGAUGUUUGGAGACACUCUUCAUGAUUGUUUCAGUGGACACUCCUUUGCAGAUCUAAAAAAUAGAGAAAACUCAUUUUUGGAAAGAGUCCGAUAGAGUUAUCAUUGAAGUGAAUUUUAAGUAGGCACGAUGAAUAUGUUCAUGGUUGCUGUUGGACCGUAUCUCAGGAGCUGGAAUGACAGACAUUAUUGAACAAAGAAAGCAGCAUAGUGGAAUUAAAAAGGCUGAACUCUGUGCUUUCAUAAAUAUGAAGUGCGUAAUUUUCACUAAUCACAGGGUAAAUAUAAAACUGAAUUAUUAAAUUUACAGGACAUAGUAAUUGUGUGAAAUACAGUAUUUUUACUUAAAUGCUUUUUGUCUGUUUCUACCCCCCAGUCUAUUAUUUUAUAAACUAGUUGAUGCAUAAGCGGUGUUUUGGCGGUGAUAUAUUACUUACACAUUUUCGAUGUAGUAAACAUGUAUAUGUAUGUGUGUGGGUGUGUAUUAUCUAACUACUUAGUUGGACUUAUUCCUAUGAUUUGGAAUUUCUGGGGCCAAGUUUAUGCAAAAAUCUAUAUUUUUGAGUAAACUUACCAUGACUAGAGUAAGUUUCCCCAGUAUUUGCAAAUUCUUCAUUUCCUAAAGCUGUACAAGCAGCAGAUAAUAUUUGUAAGGAUCGAUAAUGUAAUUUAUAAUGAUAUUAUUUUCUCAGCUGUUUUGUUAACUGUAUCAUCAUAGCUUUUAACUCAUUUGUGCUAUUCCAUUUUCCUCUGUUACUUUUAUUUUCACUUCUCUUGUAAUGUUAGUCUGGUCUCUUUGUACUCAUAUCUAAAGAGUUCAUUUAUGAUUAACGAUGUUAAUUUUUUGUCUAGAAUUGCAAGUAUGUUUUUCUCAUUCAUUUUACUGUGGUGGUUUAUUUUUUGGUUACACAGAAGUCGUAUAUUGAAAUAUGAAAUAUAAUCUUGUUUUAUGGCUUUGGAGUUUUGUGGGGAUUUUUUUAACAUGUUUAAGUUAGUAUCAUUUAUUUGUAUUGCUUUCUGUUUCAUCAGUUAUUUUGUCAUUUCUUUCUCCAUUAGUCAUCGUUCUGGUGUUAAUGAGUGCAUUAAAUACUCACUUUGACUGGUGUAGUUGUCUCUGAAGCUCUACCAUAAUCAUGAAGAAAAUUUCCACGUAACAAUUGGCUACAUUUCUGUUAACUUGCCUUACUUACCAUCUUAUUGACACUUUAAUAAUUGCUUAUGAUUUAUACUGUCUCAUCUAUUCCAUUGAGCUUUCAUUUCUCUUCUUUUCCAGAAUAUUAUCUGUCUAUACUUGCAUUUUUUUCUGUCCUUUGAUGCUUACAAUUAUUUUUGCAAGUUGGAAAAAAAAUGCAGUAUUUCAUUUGCAGCAAAUUUAAUAGAUUAAUUAGGAAAGAAUAGAUGUCUUUAAAAUUGAGUCUUCUAUCCAACUGCAAGUUAUAGCUGAGGUGGUACCAGUUAAAGAAGUGAGAACUUCUUCACUGACUGAAAUUUGCAUAUCAAUCCAAAUGAUUGUGCUUGUUUACUGUUUUUGUAGACUUCAUUCUUCAAAAGUGCUGCAUCUUUCAUAAUCAAGGAGGACAAAGACCUUUCUUGCAGGUGGUGACCAUGUGGAUAAUAGGAUUAUAGACAAAUGGUUCUAUCUACAGCAUCACCCCAAUGCUGUUGUUAUUGCUUCUUUAUGGGAUCUUCUUGCAUCUUUGCUUCUCAAGGGGCACAACUUUUAAAAGCAAGCAGUUAACCUGGCUGGAUUCACACUGCAGCCUGCUCCAUGUGCUUUGGGAAGCAGCCUGCACUCUGUUCAGUUCUUUUCUUUUCACAUUGUUUGUGCCAUUUGGAGUCUGGCCUACAUGAUGGGCAGUUUACGGGUCAACCAAAGAUUUCAGCAGAAUUUAUACACAGAAUUUCAUUCAGGCUUCCCCUGUCUGAUUUUCCACUCUGUGGGAAUUUCCUCCCACUUUCCAGCUGCUAUUGAGGAUGCCCUUAGGCAAAAUUUCAUGACAUUGGAAACUUAACCAGGGAUAUUCCUUUCCUCCAAGAGUACACUCACCUCCAGUGUUGACUUGCUUUGGUUGUUCUCCAUUGUUGUAGAUAGCUGUCUUUAUAUUCAUUCUGGAGUUUACAGAUGAUAUCCGUUGGGGGCUUAGUUUGGUAGCAGGUACUCCUUUAUUACUAGUAGCCAGACUUGUAUGUCUUACCUGACCUGAUGGGGAAAAGUUUCAACUUACGAGAAUGUGCUAGCUAGUUUUACUGAUUCAUGCACUCUAACGUACCCAAACCAAAUAGUGUAGCUCUCUAUCCUAUAUGAAUCUUCUCUGAUUUUCACUGUUUUAAUCAAAAGUAUACACGUUGAGAUUUCUAUAGGUUGUGUUUUUAAGCAUCACAGUUCUUAUAAACUAAUAAUUUCUAAGCUCUACUUGCUUUGCAUUUUGCCUACCAAGAGUUUUGUAUUUGUGUGGGAAUAAUCUCUUUGUAUGAAUAUCUUUUUCCAUUCAUGCAAAACAGAGCAUCAAUUUCUUUAAGCAUUAUGCUCUAGUUUGCCUUGGUAUUAUUGGAAAUGCCUCGUGAUUAAUUUGGGCUCUUCUCCACCCUCAUUCCCAACAUUAUUGCCAGCUUUUACCACUUCAAGGGAUGGAAAUGUUUUCCACAAAGCACUUAUUCAUGCCAGUGAAAAUCUAGAAAAAAAUGAAUAAAACUAGGAAAUUCUUCUUGGUAUCUGUAGCUAACUUACCUAAGUGUUCUUUCCCACAGGUCAGGUUUUCAGUCCAUAGAUAUAAAGGGGAGUAGUGACCUCUGGUACUUUAUUUAAUUAAUUGAAAACAUUAUUUGGGUCAAAACAUAGACGUAUGUUUUGUGAAUUGUGCUGUGUUGUAGACCCUUGAAGUGAGUUCCUCUAACAUAGAAUUGAUCUAGCUCUUGAAAUACCAUUUUUCAUUGAAUAUAAAUAGGAUAUAGGCACCUUACAACUUCUGAAUUUGAGGAAGAUGAUGUUAAUCUUCCAAUUUUAUCCAUUUGAUUUGGAUGGUAUAUUUUUUCACAUUUCUUGUAACUUCCACAUGUAAACUCCCAUGACAAUCAUGCAGGAAAGGGGCAUGAUUGCACUUCUUUUAGUGCAUAUCAUCACUGCAACAUGGUUACUGUCUUUAUAUGGCCUUUAGAAAAAUUCAGAAAUGGCAUACCAAGCAUAUUUAUUUUAUAUAUAAGAAAUAAGCCCAUGUGGAACAGUAAAUGUUCUAUUCUGAGAAAUACCUUGAUUGCUGUCUUAAAGGCUAAUGUUACUGGUAGUUUUCAAACUCGCAAUUCUGCUUACAUUUAAAUUUGUCUUAUCAUUAAAUAAUCUAUCAGUCCAUUUUUGUCUAUCAAUCAUCUAUCUCUCUGUCUUUAUCAGUCAUUCGCCUGUAAUCUAUCUGUGCUGUUUGGCAUAAGAGACAGAAGGGUAUAGCAGUGGAAACCCAAAGGAGUUCCCUCCAUGUGAAUGGACGGUAGUGAUGGUGAUCUGUGAGGUGGUGAAGUAUAGAAAGAAAACCUGGAAGAGAACAUGCCCUAACUCAGGGACCUUGUCUGUCAGGCACUCUGGCCUUGUUACACUGUGCUUACAUAUGAAAAAUAAAAUCAAAAUAGUGCUGACAUUCUGCAUCACCUGGGUCUGAGAAAACUUAGAGUAGGUAUGAUGAGUCUGCCACUUCAGUCUUUUGUAUUUAUAUACUUUUGAGCUCAAUUACAAGUCUGUAGGAUUAUUUCCCCAACCUGUGUUAAACUAGACCAUGGAUUGGCAAACUUUUUCUGUAAAGAACCACAUACACAUUUCCAGUUCUGAAAGCCUUGUGGUCUUUGUUGAAGCUAAUCUACUCUGCUGUUGUAUUAUGAAAGCCGCCAUAUAAUUGAAUGAGUAUGCUGUGCCUUUCUCCCAAUAAAAUUUUAGAAAAGCAGCCUGUGGGCUGGAAUUUAUCCUUCACGAAACCAGAGCAUCAGGUUAACUGGAACCUGAACAAUCACAUCAACUCAGCCACAUGGUAAUAAUAUUUAGAGUAUUAUUUCAACAUUUUCAUUUUUAUAAAACAAUUUUUAGCUUCUUUGCCAAAUUCCAUUUGUGGGUGAUACAAAUGACUACCACGCGCCAUGAACAUCACCUAAACAGUAUAAAACAAGUACCAGAGAAGGGUUCAAAUGACAUGAGCCUCUUGCUGUAAGAGUUAUACUUGAUAAAUUAUAUUUCAAAAUUGAACUUAUUUCUUCCAAAUUUCAUGUAUAAGGAAUUUGUUUCCAAAAUCUUGCCUCCCUUCUUUUCCCAUUUAGCAAUAUGGUCUCGGCGGUCAUGGUGGUAUCCAUCCUCCUUGGACCAUGAAUUUAGCCUGUUUUGACUUCAUCUGAACAGUUGUACUGGUUUCACCAUAUCAGAGUAACAUUACUACACGAUAAAGCUAUUCUUUUAAGUCAGCUUGUAAAAACUUGAUAGUGUCAACAAUAUGCAUAGCAAAUGAAUACCAUCUUUAGUCCAAAUAAAUUGUUUUUACAAAUUUAGUCUUGAUGCUGUCUGCCUUGCAGGAAUUAAAGAUGAGAUUAAAAGAAUAAAUAAUCUGCUAAGUUAAAAUUAAGUUUGGGUAAUUUAUUGCAGUAAUGGAUGUAUUUUCCUCAAAACAUAUGACAAAUUUAGUGUUGAAAGGCUCACUCAAAUCAUUUGGGAAAACACAUAAAUGAACAAUUCUUAAAAAUACUGCAAAUGGCCAAGAGCAUAGAAAGUAUGCUCAACUUAUCAGUCAUUAUAAUGAAAUGAUGAAAUUUGUAUAUAUUUAAAAUGAAUACUUAAAAUAUGUGAAACAAAACAAUUAUUUGCCUCUUUUCACCUAUCAGAUUAACAGGUAGAAGUGUUAACAAAGUGAGGAGAAUUUGGAACUCCUGAUGUGUUAAAAUCUUUCAGGAAGGUAGUACAAAAUAUAUAUAAGAUGAAAAUCAGCACAUUUUGACCAACAAUUUUAGUUUGAGGUAUUUAUCUAUAAGGAUAUAAUAGAAAGUGUUCAACAAUGCAUGUAAACUUAAGGGUAGUCAAUGUAGUGUUAAUUAUAAUUGUAAAAUAGUAAAUAACCUUUUGUCAAAUCAUAAUGCUAGGAAAAUUAGUGAUGGCACAUUUCACUAAUUGGAUUAUGUUGAGUUAUUAAUUCAGUGAUGCAUGUUCAAAUUAAUUGAUGUGAAAAUCCAACACCUUCAGCAAUUUAUUUACCAGUUACUGAGUACCAACUAUGUUUAACAUUGUAUUUUGUUCAUGCGAAAUGACAUGUAUGUGCUUGUUAUGAUAUGGUCAAUAAACCAGUUUUAUAGGAAGAAUACUCACAAAACACAGCGAGUCCUGGGCAUUAUUUUAUUGUUGAAUUUGUGUGUGUGUGUGUGUGCGCGCGCGCGCGUGUGUGUGUUUUGAAUACAUAUAUGUAUUUCAAUUAAAUACAGCAUUUAUUGAAUUUUUACCAGAUACCACAUGUGGAGAUAACUUCACAUGAUUUAAAUGCUUAUAAUAACAGAUGGAGUAACAAAUUUAUGUCUAUGUAAAAGAUAGAUAAAUUGAGGUCGAGUUUGAAUUUGUGUAAUUCAUCCUGUUAUGUAGAACUUAAAACUAUCCUAUGAUGUCACAACCUUUGGAAGAUAAUUUAAAAUACUUAAAAUUUGUUAAAUCCAUUGAGCAAAACCAUUAUUUGUGAAAGAACCCACAUUUCAGAAGUCAUAUUCAUUCUCCUUUUGUCUUUAAGGCCAGAGAUGUGAUAAUUAACUGCAGCUUUUCAAGAUAGAAAGUGUAAGUGUUGAUGUAUUCUAGAAACAGGAGAAAAACAUGAAUAGGACAUUGUCCUUUGGAAAUUUUUAUAGUGUAAACCUUCAGGGAGUUACUUCUAGAAAUAUGGGUACCUUUGCUUAGGAUGUGGUAUACCGUGUUCCUGGGGAUGGAGGCACCGAUCAAAGUUCAAAGAGAAAUGGCCAGUGAAAAGAGGAUCACUAAAUGGAAGAAGCUAAGUUUGGCAUAGAGCUGGUGACAGACAAUGUGAAGACUGAAAUACUGCCAAUAGCAGGGAAAAGGUCCAUGGUAGUAUCUUAGUGAAGAAACAAUUGCACACUUACCUAGAUUUAAAGGUCAUAACCUCCUUUUAGAAUAUUUUUCCAGUGUAAUUUAUGACCAUAUGGUCUGUAUCCUACAAAGUCUCCCCCAUUCUACAAAAUCUGUUCUUAGUUUUCUGCCUCCAUUUUAUUCAUUCAUUCUAACCAUUUUCUAAAGAUGGUACUUUGUUUCUCGUGAAUGCAAUCCCUUAGCAGUUUGCAGCUGUUGCUGAAACUGGUUAAAAUGGUAAUCGUGGGGGAUGGUGACAUAAAUGUUGCUUUACUAUGCUAUGGCAGUUAUUGAAGUAGUUUAUAAUUUUGACUGUCAUGUAAGGAGUGCACUGUGCCAUUCUAACUUUGUAUUUUUGUAUUCUGCUAUUUGGGGGGUUGGAAAUUGUAUGAGAUUCUUUCAGUUGGGUCUCUGACAUGUUGAGAAUACUGAAGAAGAAAAUGAGUACAGCAGGAGAAAGCAGAGAUGGGGGAAGCCGCAUCUCUCAAAUAGAAUACCACUGGAUACUGAGCAGUGAACAACCUCUGAUUUUGUCUGAGACCAUUUUGAAAUUUUUGGACACAGUCUUCUGAAGAUUGAGAGACCUAAUCACUGUUGUUUGCUGCAGGUCUAGAAGAUGUUACAGAACUUCAAGCAAGAGAGGUGAGCAGCUACUGUGGUGCUUUUGAAAUUGUUUAUGUGUGUUGUGGCCAGUGAUGCCAGAACUUCAGCAUCUGAG